GGGGAAUAUUGCGCAAUGGGGGAAACCCUGACGCAGCAACGCCGCGUGGAGGAAGAAGGCCUUCGGGUCGUAAACUCCUGUCUUUUGGGACGAUAAUGACGGUACCAAAGGAGGAAGCCACGGCUAACUACGUGCCAGCAGCCGCGGUAAUACGUAGGUGGCGAGCGUUGUCCGGAAUUACUGGGCGUAAAGGGUGCGUAGGCGGAAUAUUAAGUCAGAUGUGAAAAUCCAGGGCUCAACCUUGGAACUGCAUUUGAAACUGAUAUUCUAGAGUGCAGGAGAGGAAAGCGGAAUUCCUAGUGUAGCGGUGAAAUGCGUAGAUAUUAGGAAGAACACCAGUGGCGAAGGCGGCUUUCUGGACUGUAACUGACGCUGAGGCACGAAAGCGUGGGGAGCAAAC
rnacentral:rRNA from 1 species